AGUGAACGCUGGCGGUAGGCCUAACACAUGCAAGUCGAACGGCAGCACAGUAAGAGCUUGCUCUUACGGGUGGCGAGUGGCGGACGGGUGAGGAAUACAUCGGAAUCUACUUUUUCGUGGGGGAUAACGUAGGGAAACUUACGCUAAUACCGCAUACGACCUACGGGUGAAAGCAGGGGAUCUUCGGACCUUGCGCGAUUGAAUGAGCCGAUGUCGGAUUAGCUAGUUGGCGGGGUAAAGGCCCACCAGGGCGACGAUCCGUAGCUGGUCUGAGAGGAUGAUCAGCCACACUGGAACUUGAACACGGUCCAGACUCCUACGGGAGGCAGCAGUGGGGAAUAUGGGACAGUAGGCGCAAGCCUGAUCCAGCCAUACCGCGUGGGUGAAGAAGACCUUCGGGUUGUAAAGCCCUUUUGUUGGGAAAGAAAAGCAGCAGGUUAAUACCCCGCUGUUCUGACGGUACCCAAAGAAUAAGCACCGGCUAACUUCGUG
rnacentral:rRNA from 1 species